rnacentral:misc_RNA from 1 species
GGACUACAAGGGUAUCUAAUCCCGUUUGCUCCCCUGGCUUUCGCGCCUCAGCGUCAGUGUUGGCCCAGCAACCCGUCUUCACCUCAGGUGUUCCUCUUGAUAUCUACGCAUUUCACCGCUACACCAAGAAUUCCGAUUGCCCCUUCCACACUCUAGCACUGCAGUAUCACUUGGCCGUUCUGAGUUAAGCCCGGAGAUUUCACAGCUGACUUGAAUUGCCGCCUACGCGCCCUUUACGCCCAGUAAAUCCGAACAACGCUUGGUCCCUACGUAUUACCGCGGCUGCUGACAC